UUAACUAGUUAGCAGGGACAAAGGCCCGUGAUUGGCCGAGUCCGCCUUAGGCGGACUACCUGCAUAACUGACC
rnacentral:sRNA from 1 species